CAUUAGAUGGCUGAAAGCAAGUAACGGUCUCUUAAACCGCAUAAUAGUAAUUAGCGAUUACUUCUAAUG
rnacentral:tRNA from 1 species